UGAUCACUGAAAGUUUCUC
rnacentral:misc_RNA from 1 species